rnacentral:rRNA from 1 species
CAGGCCUAACACAUGCAAGUCGCACGAGAAAGCGGACUUCGGUCUGUGAGUAAAGUGGCGCACGGGUGAGUAACACGUGAAUGAUCUACCUCCGAGUGGGGAAUAACUGAGGGAAACCUUAGCUAAUACCGCAUAACACUUACGAGUCAAAGCAGCAAUGCGCUUGGAGAGGAGUUCGCGGCAGAUUAGCUAGUUGGCGGGGUAAUGGCCCACCAAGGCGAUGAUCUGUAUCCGGCCUGAGAGGGCGCACGGACACACUGGAACUGAAACACGGUCCAGACUCCUACGGGAGGCAGCAGUGGGGAAUUUUGCGCAAUGGGGGAAACCCUGACGCAGCAACGCCGCGUGGAGGAUGAAGUCUCUUGGGACGUAAACUCCUUUCGAUAGGGAAGAUUAUGACGGUACCUAUAGAAGAAGCCCCGGCUAACUUCGUGCCAGCAGCCGCGGUAAUACGAGGGGGGCAAG